CCUACGGGCGGCUGCAGUGGGGAAUAUUGCACAAUGGGCGCAAGCCUGAUGCAGCCAUGCCGCGUGUGUGAAGAAGGCCUUCGGGUUGUAAAGCACUUUCAGCGGGGAGGAAGGCGGUGAGGUUAAUAACCUCAUCGAUUGACGUUACCCGCAGAAGAAGCACCGGCUAACUCCGUGCCAGCAGCCGCGGUAAUACGGAGGGUGCAAGCGUUAAUCGGAAUUACUGGGCGUAAAGCGCACGCAGGCGGUCUGUCAAGUCGGAUGUGAAAUACCCGGGCUCAACCUGGGAACUGCAUUCGAAACUGGCAGGCUAGAGUCUUGUAGAGGGGGGUAGAAUUCCAGGUGUAGCGGUGAAAUGCGUAGAGAUCUGGAGGAAUACCGGUGGCGAAGGCGGCCCCCUGGACAAAGACUGACGCUCAGGUGCGAAAGCGUGGGGAGCAAACAGGAUUAGAUACCCGGGUAGUC
rnacentral:rRNA from 1 species